rnacentral:tRNA from 1 species
GGGUUUCUCUCGCUUUUGGCAUAGCGGGCCCCCAGCGGGGGGCUAUUGAUUCUCUCCCAAUUGGUUGGACCGUAGGU